rnacentral:rRNA from 1 species
GACAGAGGGUGCAAACGUUGUUCGGAAUUACUGGGCGUAAAGCGCGUGUAGGCGGCCCGGAAAGUCGGAUGUGAAAUCUCCACGCUCAACGUGGAGGGGCCAUUCGAAACUGCCGUGACUCGAGUCCGGUAGGGGAGUGUGGAAUUCCCGGUGUAGCGGUGAAAUGCGCAGAUAUCGGGAGGAACACCAGUAGCGAAGGCGGCACUCUGGGCCGGUACUGACGCUGAGGAGCGAAAGCGUGGGGAGCGAACAGG